rnacentral:rRNA from 1 species
UACAGAGGUCCCAGGCGUGGUUCGGAUUCACUGGGCGUAAAGGGUGCGUAGGCGGUCGGGGAAGGCUGAUGUGAAAUCUCACAGCUUAACUGUGAAACUGCAUUGGAUACUAUCCGGCUCGAGGAAUGGAGGGGAGACUGGAAUACUUGGUGUAGCAGUGAAAUGCGUAGAUAUCAAGUGGAACACCAGUGGCGAAGGCGAGUCUCUGGACAUUUCCUGACGCUGAGGCACGAAAGCCAGGGGAGCAAACGGG